rnacentral:ncRNA from 1 species
UGGUCGGAUGAUGUGGAUUAAAAGGGAAUCGGGUGUAAAUCCCGGACAGUCCCGCUGCUGUGAAGCUCCGUUCAACAUUCUGAAAACAACUAAUGCCACUGACGUUUGUCGGGAAGGCUUCAGGAUGGGAGUCAGUCAGAAGACCUGCCGUUCAUUAA